GUACACUCCUGCGGGAGGCAGCAGUGGGGAAUUUUGGACAAUGGGCGAAAGCCUGAUCCAGCAAUGCCGCGUGUGUGAAGAAGGCCUUCGGGUUGUAAAGCACUUUUGUCCGGAAAGAAAUCCUUGGCUCUAAUACAGUCGAGGGAUGACGGUACCGGAAGAAUAAGCACCGGCUAACUACGUGCCAGCAGCCGCGGUAAUACGUAGGGUGCGAGCGUUAAUCGGAAUUACUGGGCGUAAAGCGUGCGCAGGCGGUUUGCUAAGACCGAUGUGAAAUCCCCGGGCUCAACCUGGGAACUGCAUUGGUGACUGGCAGGCUAGAGUAUGGCAGAGGGGGGUAGAAUUCCACGUGUAGCAGUGAAAUGCGUAGAGAUGUGGAGGAAUACCGAUGGCGAAGGCAGCCCCCUGGGCCAAUACUGACGCUCAUGCACGAAAGCGUGGGGAGCAAACAGGAUUAGAUACCCCUGUAGUCCCAUGA
rnacentral:rRNA from 1 species